UACGGAGGGUGCAAGCGUUGUUCGGAAUUACUGGGCGUAAAGCGCACGUAGGCGGCUUUGUAAGUUAGAGGUGAAAGCCCGGGGCUCAACUCCGGAACUGCCUUUAAGACUGCAUCGCUUGAAUCCAGGAGAGGUGAGUGGAAUUCCGAGUGUAGAGGUGAAAUUCGUAGAUAUUCGGAAGAACACCAGUGGCGAAGGCGGCUCACUGGACUGGUAUUGACGCUGAGGUGCGAAAGCGUGGGGAGCAAACAGG
rnacentral:rRNA from 1 species